GCUGGGCGUGGCGGCGUGCACCUGUAAUCCUAGCUACUUGGGAGGCUGAGGCAGGAGAAUUGCUUGAACCCAGGAGGCAGAGGUUGCUGUGAGCCGAGAUUGUGCCACUGCACUCCAGCCUGGGCAACAGAGCAAGACUCUGUCUCAA
rnacentral:SRP_RNA from 1 species